UAUAUAUGUGUAUAUAUAUAUAUAUAUAUACUUACAUAUAUAUAUACCCACCCAAAAGUGACAGUAUGGCAGAAAAACACGGACGCUCAUAAACGGACCCACUUGACUUAAAAAAAUCUCGGCUGUCGAGUGAAGACGGUGUAACCAGUUGACCUAUCAUGUCAGAAAUGGACCUCACAGGUGAAAGAAUACAAUCCCAGGACGUUCACUCUGUGAGCGAUGACGCCACAGAGGAGACAUUUGGCACCGCUUGAGAAAACAUUUUUAUGUCUUGUUAGCAGCUCUGCAGCCAUUGAAGUGAGAUGUAAUCAGAUGAUUUCUCUCUGAACCCGGUCAUAUACUACACACCUGCAGUGCUGGGAACUCUACUACUAAGAUCCAUUAGUACAAUGAAAACCCGGCGAUCGUGAUGACACAUCUAGAUUCACGGUCCACUCCAGCUUUCUCUCUCUCCUGUCAUUUUACAAAAAAAGAAAUCACUCCGGCUCUGAUGACCAGACUUGGACUCAAUUGAUGGAUGUUCGGACUUUACAAAGUCAUCGCAGACUGGACCUCUUACCGUCGUAUGAGACUUGUAGCAAACCUAAACAACAGCAAAUCCCGCCAGGAUCAUUUGGAUAUAACACUCCAACAACACACACAGGGACACUGUGGCAUCAGAGCAUCAUGUUUUAAACCUUGUACAUGUAAGAAAACCUGGUCUAUCCUCCAGAGUCUGUGUGUGCAGCAGGCGAAAAGUGCCUGUCUGUUUCGUAUUAUGAGCUAUUUCUUCACUGAGCUUGGGUUCAUCCACAAACCAGGCUGUCGAUCUGAUUCGGAUCUGACGGGGGGACCAUUUCAUAUUGAUUGCAAAGUUAACCUCAAAGCCCAUCUGCAGAUUUUGCUUGGCAUUGAACAGAGAUGCAACGUUUUCACACUGUAUCAUAACAUCUGGAAUCGAACUGACAUAGUCAAGAAGGGUUUAUCACUGCAUCUCUUCAAUCGAUGCCUUUUAUUUGACUACAUUUGAACAGAAGUUGAAAGGAACUCGGUGUGUCCAAACAUGUCAAUGGAAACACUGAGUCAAUGCAUUCCUUUUAUUGUGAAAACUUUUUUUUUAUGUAUUGUUUGUGUGCACAUUAAGGCUUCACUUCUCAGCUCCCUGGUGCACCAAUACGACGUUACUAGGUGGAGUAAAUACGCAGCUUUCACGUCAUUAUUUCUCUCUCCCCUCGUGUAGAACUGCCCUUGUAAUUUAAGUGCUACUUUUAAAAUUGUAGUGCGAUCACAAAAUCCCGGCAAAGAAGCAGCUAAGAGGCUGUUGACUGAGUACCGAAGGUUUUUUUUUUUUUUUUCUUAACUCACUCUAAGAACUUGUUUCAUUCAGUGUUUAAUUUACUAAUCUGAUGUUUACAACCUUGACUCAAACAGAGUUGUUUUACUAAAUUAAAUACGUGAAUCUUCAGUGACCACACAUUCAUAAUUGUCAACAUAAUGGAUUUUGAAUUACGUGUUUUUCAUGUAUGCUUUUGUUCGCCAUGUGAUUGUCUUUGUAAACAAUCUUAACAAGAUACAAAGUGCCUGUCAGACCAAAACUGGACUCCAUAAGAAAAACACACCAACAAACCCAGCAGGCCCUUUUUUUCUUUUCUUUUCUUUUGUCUUUAAAUGGGCAAGAUUGUUUUUCUGCACAUAAUUAUGACCAGGCUGUUUUACAGCUACAGUUCAGUACUGUACCACAGCGGAGGAAGGACAAAAUGGUUUAUAGGAAUAGGGCAAGUCAUUUUUUUUAUACCACGGGUUAUUGUAUUUCUGAAAAAAGUAAAUUAUUUUUGUUUAUUUUUAGUUUUUUAUAUGGAUGUUUUUAAUGAUUAUUAGCCUUUCCUUCUAUUCAGUUAUUAUGGUGCUACUUAGGAGUAAGUUUGCUGUGGACUUUGCUGCCUUUAACAAGGCAUCAACCAAUCAAUCCGUUCAUCUAUUUAAAUGUCUCGUGCACAGUUUUGUGUAUGACCAGCAAAUGAGUGUAUCUCUCUGUCUGUACACACACACACGUUUUAGUGACUCAGCAGUUUAAAAAUAGGGCAUUACUGUAACGGUGCAUGUGUUUAGAUAAUACACUGAGGAAAACCCACAGUCUAAAUGCUGCCGUCUCUCUCUCUCUCUCUCUCCACUCCAGCCCUCACUGCUGGUACAAAACCAACUGUAUGAAACCAGUGUCUGCUUCAGAGGCUCCAAAAAUAGACUGCUUGAUUUCUGACCACAGUUCUACUGCGGUUAGUUUCAAAUCUGAUCGGUUUGAGACCACAGGAAUAACACAGUGUAACCUCAUUAAAGUGUCCCAAAAUAAAAGAAAAAGCACAGGUAGUGAGACUGACCACACAUCCAUUCCUCUCUUUUUAAUUGUGUAACUUAAUUUGAAACCACAUCUGAAUUUCAUACCAUUAUGUUAUGUAUUUAACGUCACAGAAAUAGGGAAAUAAUACAAAUGUCGGUUUCAGUGAUAAAGUGACAAUGUUUAAUCUCAUUUUUGAGCUUGAACUGCUUAAACAAGGUAGCUGGUUCCAUUAGCUGCGGCAGCUACACCUACAUCUUCUCUUUUUGGAGCAAUGUAAGGAUGCUUUUAAUGAAAUAUUGACUGUAAUCAGUGUUUUGAGAAUUAUGAGAGCCCAUUGAAGUUGCUCUGAAAAGUUUGUUAUUGGUCGUGUUAGGGCUGCAACUAAAAGUUAUUUUCAUUAUUGACUCAUCUGUUGUAUUUAUAUUAUUUCUUUCUCAACUAAUUUAUAAGGUUGGCUAUAAAAAUUGAAGGAAAAUAACGAGAAGUGUGUGUUUUUAUUUUUAAGAUGAAGUCAUCGAAUAUUUUUGUUUAGUCCAAAAACCAAAACCAGAAAACUGCAGAUUUUAUUUUUUAAAAACAGCACUUUUGUGUUUAAUCAAAUCAUUAAGUGUCGGCUCAUUCAAUAAUUGAGUAAUCAGUCAAUUGUUGCAGCCUUAGCUUCAGCUGUCAUCCUUGCACAUGCAUGUCUCCUCUAGCCAAGACACAAAAAGAUAACUACACAUUUCCUACUUUGGACAAAUACUAGCUGUUGAUUGUUGCCCGUCAGCUGGACGUCUCUGCUGCCGACAUCUUUGCCAAAAAAAUCUGUGUAAGCAGCAAAAAGAUUGCGACCAUCCCCAGGUCCCUGCAGAAGUCCUGUCUGCCGUGACCACAGUGCAGUAAUGAUUCAGUCGUCCCACAGUCUCUCAGCCACGACACACUCCGGUGAAUAAUCUGAAACCAACCACAAAGGAACCUUUACUACACCCUAACAUUAGCUUUGGCACCGCUUCUGCUUUUUGGAUACUCUCCAUAAUUCUAUAUAGGAUAUUUAAAUGUUUAAAACGGGAGGACAAAAUAUUAAAUCUUUGCAACUCCUUCAAAACAAAAGCACAAUUAUGAAAUGAAUAGACUUUUGCUGAGGUUUUGGCAUUGUGUACAAAUGAAUAAAUACUUUGAUAAUCCACAGUUUUCAUACAAGAAAAAAAAAAAAAGCAUCGACACAAAACUGGUAUUUUAUAUUUAGUGACUUAAUGCAAAUCUAAAAAUGCCCACCUCAUUGACGUGGAUGAAAGUUAAACAGAUUCUGUUCUACCUCGUAUAUAUUUAUUAAUAUACUCUGAGAUGUGUCGUUGAAGGACACAGAACCUACAGAACCUACAGAACCUGCAUGUAUGUUUGAUGUAACUACGACCGGUCAUCUGAAAACAGUCCUGUUGUCAUUUAGUCUUGCUGUCAAGGUCAUUUUAGUGCCUUUACUCUACUGCAUGACAAUGGCAACUUCCAGAUUGUACUUACCCAUAAAAACUGUCUCCGCUUGUUGUCUUGCAGUAGGUGCAGACUUGAUUUGUGUUUACAUAAAAGAUCUGCAGUUUAUCCACUGGACACAUUAUGACGGACCAUAUGUUGCUGCUGUGUCAAGAGUGCAGUUUGCCUUAGAGACUUCAGCGUGAGCAGGCUUAUUCAAGGGUGGCAAUUUGGAGUCGAGCAUCAACUCAUGUUUGGAUAAUAUGGGACAUAUAAAUCGAUAGAGGAUCCCAGGAAGUGUCCAGGUUGUGGAUAAAACUGUUCUGCGGCAUUGAGUGAGGAUUAAAGGUCCAGUGUGUAACUUUUAGGAACGUUUAUUGGCAGUGGUUUUUAGAAGUGUGUAAUCACUUAAAGAAUAAAAGUCAUUUGGUUUCCGUAGCCUUAGAGUAGGUCUUUAAUACAUACUUGAAGUAAGGGCCUUGCUUUAAAGAGGCGACCAUCUUGCGUCGCCAUGUUUCUACGUUAAAUAAUACAACCUAUCUGUGCAACAAUAUUUGAUUUAUUAUUACCUCAGAUAUACUGGUAUUUGUGUCGACCCGGAUACAUUUUUCUAUCCAGACAUAAAAUGGCAAACUCUUCUCAGACUCUGAUGUCAUUGGUCGCCGUCGUCAGGUGCCACACUUGCUCCUCCCCCUCAGGUUCUAAGUACUAGUCAUUGCAGCUAAUAACUGUUUUACAGGUCACCAUGGGUCUCGAUGUUCCCCAUGUGUCUUUUUGAGAAAUAUUUUUUUUCCAUACCAUUCAUAUUCAUCAUGUACAUUAAUUCUUAGCUGGUGAUAAUGCUAGAGCCUGUAUAUUUGCUUUAUAUGACAUACUAAGAGAUACUUAAGUAAAUAAAUAAAUAAAGCGUGAGUCUUGAAUAAAAGGAUAAUGCAAUGAAAGCUAAACAAAGUGAGUACACAGAGUGGACGUUUUACGCUUUGUGUUGAAACUGGAAAAGAAAGGAAAGGUGUGUGCUCUCUCUGUCCUUUUAUUUCUUUGAGAACAGCUGAAUGUCAACAGCCGAUCUGACACUCUGACGGGUCGCUGUGUGAAGUAUGUAGCUCUCUCCCCUUAUAGACCAACAACACUUGAGCAUUUCCUCUGUACAUAACUGUCGGUGCAUUUUGAUGCUGAUGGAUAAAAAAAUAAAUAAAUAGCAGCACAUGGAAAAAGAAGUUGAAUGAGAACCUUCGGUCCAAGCAGAUUUUUGAAGGGUAAAGGGGAUUUUUUUGUUUUUGCAACAAAUGUAGCUUGCAAAUACAAUACUGAAAUGCCUCCUGUUUGUCUUAGAAUUCACAAAUAAAUGUUUGUUGGAAUUUCA